GUCCACGCCGUAAACGAUAAUCACUAGAUGUUGGUUCGGCUUAGCUGGAUCAGUGUCGUAGCUAACGCGUUAAGUGAUUCGCCUGGGGAGUAUGGUCGCAAGGCUAAAACUUAAAGAAUUGACGGGGGUCCGCACAAGCGGUGGAACAUGUGGUUUAAUUCGACACUACGCGAGGAACCUUACCUGGGCUUGACAUGUGCUUGACAGCUGUAGAAAUACGGUCUUUUGGGCUUCGGCUCAAACAGGUACACAGGUGCUGCAUGGCUGUCGU
rnacentral:rRNA from 1 species